CAGCCGCCGCGGUAAUACGGAGGGAGCUAGCGUUGUUCGGAAUUACUGGGCGUAAAGCGCACGUAGGCGGCUUUGUAAGUUAGAGGUGAAAGCCUGGAGCUCAACUCCGGAACUGCCUUUAAGACUGCAUCGCUUGAAUCCAGGAGAGGUGAGUGGAACUGCGAGUGUAGAGGUGAAAUUCGUAGAUAUUCGCAAGAACACCAGUGGCGAAGGCGGCUCACUGGCCCGAUACUGACGCUGAGGCACGAAAGCGUGGGGAGCAAACAGGAUUAGAUACCCCAGUAGUCCCUGUCUCUUAUAC
rnacentral:rRNA from 1 species